rnacentral:tRNA from 1 species
GGGGUGGUGUUAAUUGGUAGCAUGGUGGAUUCCAAAUCCAUUGGUUAGGGUUCGAGUCCCUACUCCUUCGCCA